AAUGUGACCUCGAUCAGUAGAG
rnacentral:rRNA from 1 species